GAAAAGAAUAGCCAGGAGUUUUUUUCAGGUCGGCUUACCCACAAAUGUUACCAAACGUCAUUCUCAACCGAUCGCUUUAUCCAACGUGGCAAAGCUGUUGGCCUGGCGCUUGGGGGAGAAGAAAAGGAUUAUAAAGCCCGCAGCGAAGGCCGGUAACUCUCCAUUUUCAACUGGGCGACUCCCACUUAGAUCUAUAAGGUUAAUACUCUGUGCAAUAAGGACAUCGCAAUCUAACAAAAUAGAUUUCCAGUGCUAUCAGCAAUGUGUACUUUCCGCUGAGAUAUCCGUCAGACUUCAAUGCUUCCAGCAGACAAGGGAGACUACUACAACGGACAUGGGCAGGAUUCUGGGAAGUAGGAAGUGCUAGCUUAUAGAGCGACACAGGAGCCAAGAGGACACAGAUUGGAGCUACUAGAGUUGGAUCACCCUUGACGUCUGCUUCCAACAAAGCACGUGGAGAGGAACAAGAUCUUGAAAAAAAAGGGAGGGAAACCGGAACACCUAUCCAGCAGACGACAGUUUCGACAAUACUUGAGAUCAUAUGCUGGGGUACGAACUGUGAUGUCAAGUGUCGCCGUUGCACGGCACGAGCCAUGACUUGACUGUGUCACAUGAGUGUGCUCAACAACAUAGGCCAGAAAGAGGGAACCAUCCAAUGGUGAAGAACUAUUCAACACUUGGCAUAGAAGCCCAAGGGUGAGAAUUCUACCAGCAGACGUGAGUUUAUGGCCGUUUGUGUAGUAGGAAUCUUGGAAGUGGAUAAACAGACCCGAAGGCCUUGUUCCAACAGCUAGAAAAGAGUUGGACAGCUAGAAAAAGUGCAGAUUACAUCACAGGAUCAGUGGACAGAAGAAUCCCAGAUGAAGAGAAUGCACCAUAAGACUUGUUAUGACUUGUGUUUAUCUUGCAAUGUUAUGUCAUAUUAAAACAAAACCCACAUGAAUGACAUCUGUGUAUUAUUUACAAUUAUACCAGACUCCUUCAAAAAAGGUUAUGUUUUAGGACUUAGUUUCUUAUAAAACAUUGUAUAGUUUUACUGAACAAUAGUCUGAGCAAUGAAAACUGAUGAUUGUGUUAUGGCACUAGGUGAGAACUAGUUUAGUGGGUGAAGAAUGUUACAAAGACCCGCACUAUUGUUUUAUUGCAAGGUCAUUAACUCAACAGCUCAACCUUUGUGUGCAUUAGAUGUAGCACUAAAAUGCUUGCACAAAAUGAUAGAAUUACUUAUUUCAAUUUGCCAUUUUGGUUUUCCUGUUGCUGCACUCUAGUUUAAACAUUACAACAAACAUCAUAUCACACUGUACACAUGGCAACAGAUCAGCCUGUGUGCUAGUCACUGUACACCUUCAAGACCAUUCAGCUCAUCAGCAUACAAUUUCAAGACAUGAGAUUUUAAUUUAAAAUUCAUACUAGAGAACAAAGUAACAUUCUGAACUUAAAACAUCUGAUUAACUAUUCACAUGGGUUA